UAAAUAGUUAAGGGACCAAAAUUGCAAUUUAACCUUAUUUUUUUAACCGUUUUGCAUUGACUUGGUCUUUGAGUACCACCACUAAUUAAUUUCUUAUCUUCAAAGCUUGGUCAGAUGCAUUUUUGUCAUCACUUUCUUCAUGUUUUCUUGUUCUUCUCCUAUAAAAAAGAAAUUAAACAAAAUGUAGUAAAUUGAAACUAAAAUCAUAUAAAAAUACUAACUAUUAAGUAAAAUAUAACCAUAAAAAUAUAUUAAAAAAACAGACUUAUGAAACUUCUUCAUGCUUGAACUAUUGUUUGUCCUUAAGCAAUGACUUUAAGCAGGAAAAAAAUUAGGAACAAGCGGACAUUAAGAACAAAGAACGCAACGUCAAAUACAAGUGUGGACAUUAGGCAAAGAUAAGACCAAGGGUUCACCAAUUCGAGUUCCAAGUUAGAGGCUUAGGCUCCUCUAAAUAAUAUGUUU
rnacentral:lncRNA from 1 species